rnacentral:rRNA from 1 species
UCGAGGAUCUUCGGCAAUGGGCGCAAGCCUGACCGAGCGACGCCGCGUGUGCGAUGAAGGCCUUCGGGUUGUAAAGCACUGUCGAGGGGGAGGAAGCUCCGAAAGGGGUUGACCUAUCCCUGGAGGAAGCACGGGCUAAGUUCGUGCCAGCAGCCGCGGUAAGACGAACCGUGCGAACGUUAUUCGGAUUCACUGGGCUUAAAGGGCGCGUAGGCGGCUCCGCGAGUCGGGGGUGAAAUCGUUCAGCUUAACUGGACAAGGGCCUCCGAUACCGCGGGACUCGAGGGGGAUAGGGGUGCGCGGAACUUCCGGUGGAGCGGUGAAAUGCGUAGAUAUCGGAAGGAACGCCGGUGGCGAAAGCGGCGCACUGGAUCCCUACUGACGCUGAGGCGCGAAAGCCAGGGGAGCAAACGG